rnacentral:lncRNA from 1 species
CGUCCGUCCGUCCAUCCAUUGGCUGGCAGGCCAAUUCCUUCCUCCUCCUCUGAGAUUUUACCCUGCAGGGGUUUGAAAGCAAAGAGAAUUGGUGCCGAGGUCUGCAGCUGGAGGCCGUGCAAGCGAAACCACCGCUGAACCAAACCCGCUGGAUGCCGCCAGCGAGGAACGCCGCCCGAAAACCCUGCCCAGGACUCCCCUGAUCUCUCCUCCAGACCCUGGGAAAAGGCUGCGAGCCCAGCAGGUUGCUCUCUCUCUGGCUACCAGCCGCUGCCUUCGCUGUGGGAACGCACCGAGCUGCUCGGCAGCCCGUGCCUGGGGCUCAAAGAUAAUUCUGAAACGCCUCCAGCCUUGGAAUCACGCGGUGAGGGAUGUCCCAAACAGCAGGGGCACAAAGCAGGGGCUGUGCCCAGCACAGGGACCUCUCGGUGAUGCAAGGAAAUCGUUCAGAGUGGAUGAAGUGGACGCCGGGCUCCCAAAAUCUGGCAGGGCUGAAGAGCAAAGGGCUGGAAACUGAAGUCAUGUUUUCAAACCGAGUGGCUGGAAACCAGAAGCAGCUGCCGAGAAACGGUGCCAAUGGCCAAAACUCACCCGAAAUGGCUUUCUCUGCUGAGCUCCUCGGCGUGCUGCGAUCUGUAAAGCUGCAGCUGGUUGUGAUUAAAAAGCCAUCGGGAGUUUACAGGGAAGCUCGCAGGAGCAAAUCGUUUCUGCGUGUCCUUGCUGCUCGCACCGCCGUGCCAAAACUGCUGUUUGCUGCGUCUGAAAGGCAAAAAUAAAAAUAAUAAAAAAUAGCAAAACCAAAGAGCA